UCGGAUUGCAGCAGUUUGCUCGAGGGUAUGUUGCUUAGCUUCCAGGUUGAAUUCUAGGCCGAAUCAAACCUUGAUCUUGUAAGCAAUUUUGGAGUCCUCAUGUAGCUCUACAGCAUAGAGCAAUUAGCCAGCAAAAUCAUCGAGUGGAUUAGGAGUUAAUCGCAGUGCAAAAUCGGGUUUGAGUCAGGAUCAGUGACUGAAUGGGGUCGCCGUCAGCAGAGGGGAGCUCACCGGUGACGCCGCGUGUCUAGACCCGUGGCAUCCGUACAUCGCCGUUGGCCCCGCUCGUCAGUCCUCGGUGUGUCCUACAGCUGGCCACGGCGCCCCCGGUCGCGUGGACCGCCAUUCCCUCCCAGUUCGCUCUCUCUCGCGUGCGUCGUCUUCUCCGCGUCGCCACCGCUACUUCGGCGAGCUCGCGCGCUCGCGUCUCAGCGUCUCCGGCCAAGCGACUCCGCCCAGCGCUCCGCUAGCUUCUCCGCAACACUGUCGUCAAGUUGGCUGCGGCUGCCGAGCUUUGGUAAGCCCGCAUUGUCUUCUCCGUCGCGAGCUUACCUCGCCGAAGCUCUGCCAUGGUCACCGGCGUCGUGGCCAGGGAUCUGUAGUCCGCCAUUUCGCUUCACUCUUGUCCCAAAAGCACCGCUAGGUUGUGCUGAUGCUCGUCCGAGCUCUCUUUCGCCUCGUCUCUGACCAGAGACGCCGGCGGUCGGCCGCGCACCACCGCCGUGCCGCCAUUCGCGAGGGCGAGGUACCUAGGGUCCGGUAGAGUUAGGGUUUCGGGUACCAUUCGAUGCGGAAUUGAGUGAGGAACACGAUGGUGCCCUUGGCCAUCGCCGAGACCUCGCCGUCGACGAGUUCUCCGGCAGUCAAGUCGCAGCUCUACUCUCGGGUCACUGACGUGUGGGGUCCGUUGACUCGCGGGGUCCCCCUGUCAGUCUCCCUUUUCUCCUUUGUUUGAUUUAGGGUUUGAGCUAUUUUUGCAAAAAAUCAUAUCUCUGGUUCCUGUGAUCCAAAAAUUGUGAAACCAAUUUUGUGAGAUUCUUUGAGAUGACUAGUUUUUACGAAAAAUAUAAAAUGUACCAUGUUCUCUGGAAAAAAUAAUUGUUAUGAUUUAAUCUUGAUUAUUUAAGUAUAAAUUCAUAUCUCUUGAUGUACUGCUCCUUUUGUUCUGAAAAUUUUAUGCUAGGCUCUGAGUGGAAUGAGAAUGCUGUGAUAAAUAUUUCAUGAUUUUUGGAGUACUAUAUCUGUGUUGUGUAAUUUAUUUUUGAGAUAUGGCUUGUUUUCAUAUUUAAAUCACAAUAAAUGUUUGGUGCUUAUGCUGGUGCUCUACUCUGGUGUCAAGCUUGCUUAUGGUAAUAGUAGUAUGUAAAUAAUCUGAAAUCUGUUGUUUGACACUAUCUAAGCCUUGUUUCUUAAUUUAUGAAAUAAGCACCAUGUCACAUGUCAAAUGCUUAUCUUAAUUUUAACAUGUGCAGUUGCUCUGAAAUUUUUAUGGUAAUGUAUAGAUGCCAUACUUGUGCUUCUGUAAUUUUUGUAGAUGUUUCUGAGCACUUUUGCUAGUAUCUUGUAAUUAUGUCCCUUUAUAGAAUUAAAUUGAUAAAUGCCUUAUUAUUAAAUAUCUAGGGGUUAACAUAUGAUGUUCUGGUUGUCUUAUGAUGUGCUUGUGCUUGUAAGCCUUUUGGUUAGCACUAGGUAUGCUUUGGCUAUGUCAUUAAAUAAUUAAUUAGAGGGUUAAGAGCUGUUCUGGACAGCAAGAGAGUAAUCCAACCUUUGCUUAUUGAUAACUUGGUUUCCUGGAAGACUUGUCUAAAUCAAAGUUCUUGUAAACUUUAUGAACUAGCUGUGGUUUAAAUUUGGGGUCAAUUGGUCCAAUAGUUUAAAAGUUAUGGCUUUUCCAAGUUGGGUUCCAGAAAUAGGUGUUCUCUGUUUUUCUGGGACAGAACCUUGAACUUUGUUUAAAUGACUUGUUCAACUUAUGAAUCUUGCUGUGAUGUUUAAAGAUGAAAUGUAGACAAUUUCAUGAGCUUUCCAGAAUGUUCUCAUUUAUGUUUGUUGGAUCUUUAUAACAAUAGUUAUGACCGAUUUACUGAGCUGUUCUGUUAUAUGAUGCUUGUUGUUUAUAGUUUGACUCGCUAUGUCUUGCUAGGUUAAUUAGUUAUCCUUUGUGAGUUUACCUUAGAUGUUUGCUCAGUAAAUGAGUGUCCAGUGAAGUUCUAAUUGCAUUGUCAAGCAUUCAUUCCCAUCCCGUAUGCACCCAUUCUUACUUACCAUACAUGCAAUAGGUGCACCGGACGCGACAGCUUCUUUCGAGCUCCAGGUGAACCCCGAAGGCCAGGAGGGCAAUCUGGAGGUGGAGGACCAGCAAGCCAGACACGAGGAGCCCGAAGAGGAGGUUGAGUGCCCAAAUCACGAGCCGGCAUCAUUCGUGAAAGGCAAGCGUGGAGCAUCUUAAGUCUCCCACUUUAAUUUAGAAAGCUUAUUGAUUAUGUUAUCUCUAUUGAUGCAUUACGUAUAGGAGUUGUGAUGAAACCCUUGCUGCAUUUUACUCAAUCCUUGUCCAGAUAUCUUACCACUACCUGGUUAUAGAGUUAGGUUCGAGUAGUGGCUUAGACAUUGUUGGGUAUUUUAAACGCAAACAGAAAAAUCCGCAAGCGCACGGAUACCGAUGUAGCCUUCACCCGAGAGUAUUCCAGAGUAUCGAUUUUCCACAGGGAACGUGAGUGUACUAAUUAAGAAUCAAGAUCGCCCAAGGAUAACUAUAUAAUUUUUUUUGGUGGGAAGAGAGGAAGUUUCCUGAGAGUUCUCUAGUUGAUCUAAGAAUCAAGAAUUACUUCAAGAUUAUCUAUAUCGGGACAUCAGAGCACUAAGCACAGAAAGAGAUGAGAAGGGGGCUAGGAAGGUCUGACUACGGUCCUACAAACACCGAUCUGAACAUGGUGGAAUACCUCGACCGUUAGGGCUGUCACUACCCUAGGGCUACCACAACAAUCCGCAGGAUUGGGUGCAAUUCCAGGUAAUUGCAAGACUAAACACCACGUCUAAUCUAUUAAUUACUACUCUAGCGUUAUAAAGACUAGAGCACUUGAUGCAAGCAGGAAUCCAAUAAAUAACUUGAAUUAAAGAACUCAGGAAUUAUGAAUUGAAGAACCUGGAGAACGAUGAAGGACGAACCAGUUGCUGCAAAAGUACAAUAUUGAGGAAGAUCCGACAGAUCCGGCUCCUCCUCCGCUCUCCUCUUCUCUCUCCCUAUUUUCUAUAUUACAACUAGAACUAACUAGAACUAGAACUAGAGGAACUAGAACUAGAACUAGAUGAACUAGAACUAGAUCUAGAUGAACUAGAGGUAGAACUAGAAGAACUAGAGGGAUCCUCUCUACUUGGAUGAAGAAUUGAAACCCUAGCUUUGAUUCUGU
rnacentral:lncRNA from 1 species